AAUGAGUCGAUCGUGUUGAGUAACGCUCUCGAUAUCAAACAAGCAACAAGUUCUGUCCAUUAAAAGGUAUCGCCGUUUUUUGUUUACAUACGCCUAUAUGGACUCGGAAUCACUCGGGGGGUGAUAGAAAGCAAGUGAAAAGAAAGAGGGAAAGUACUUUAAAAAGCAAGUGGAUUAGCCGAUUUCAAGUCAGUGCAAUUCUAGCUAAAGAACGCAGUGGCUCGUUGACUAACGACGGAUCAACGACGUGUUUUCCAUUCUUAUUUUCGCCUUAGGUAGUCAACGCUUUACACUUUUCAAUUGUUUUUCCACCAAACGUGUUUCCCCGAUUUCGUUCUUGAUUCGAAAACAUUCAUGUUGUUUUAUUUGCCUUGUCAGGUGUCAUGGCAACAGCGUCAGCUCUGCAAACUGACAAAGAAUCUGUUCGACUAUUCAGAGAAAAACGAGGUUUUGCUUCUGGAUAUGGUGGUGAUUACGGUGGAGUGCAUGGAGGUGGAUAUGGAGUCGGUUAUGGAGGGGCAGCUGUGCUAGCCCAGCAAGCUACAAAUGUUGCCAAGGCAGCUCAAGCUUCGCAGGCUGCUGCUGCAUCCCAAGCAGCCCAACAAGCCCAGGCAGCACUUGCAGCUCAGGCAACUUACGCUGCACAACAAGUAAAAUAACAAAACUCAUUUCCCUGAUUAUACAUGGUUGAAUCAAUCAUCCAAAAUCUAACUGUUAAAAUAAAUAUCUCAGGUGCAAGCAGUUGUAGCUGCCCAGCAACAACAAGCAGUUUACGCUGCACAAGCUGAGCAGCUGCUUAUUCUUCUGUCCAUUACGGUGGUUACGGAUCGAGUCAUACUGCCCACCAUGCUCAACAUCCAAUGUACCAGUCCCAAGCUGAUUUAGCAGCUGCCCAGCAGGCCGUUAAUAAAGCUUAUUCGGCUGCCCAAGCCGCUCAAGCCGUAACUGUCGGUGGUGAUGGUGUUUACGGUGGAUUCAGCAGCAGUCACGGAGGAGGCUACGGUUAUAGACAUUAACCAGCUUUGGAUUCAAUCUUUCACAGUUCUGUUGUCAGCAACUACUGUACAUGAGGCAACAAAGAAUAAGUGGAAGAUUUACAUUUUACAAGCAUUUUUUCCUGCACAAAAAUUUGACAAAAGAUUGUAGAGCAAUCUCUUGCUUCACAGACACGACAUUGUGUACCUGUGCUGUUAAAAAAAUACACAGUUGCCAGUUGACCUCAGUGUAACGAGUUAUUUUUUCCAUUUCCAAUCGUACCAUCUCGUUUAACGUGACCUCCCUGAAAAUCAACAAUGGAAUUUCAUUCGAGACUUUUUGGAGGUUGAGUACAAGCAUAUAGGGGUUAAUAGUGGAUUCGAUAAACCAAACGUACCGACUGGAAUCCUUGCUAUACCACGGAGAAAGUUGUAGUUUAGAGGCAGCAAUGGAUGCAUGAAUUUCUUUUGUUACUUUGAGUGGGUCAGCAUCUCAGCAGACGAAUCGUGUGACUAGUUAACAAGUGAAGCAGGUUAACUAGUUUGAUUGAUACAAUUCAUGUCGUUUCAGUUUCUAUAUCAAGAUAACUCAUAAACGAAACAAAGUGAAUACAAAAAUAUUAACAACAAUUUUCAGACAAUAAAUUGUGCGGCAUACUGCUUGGAAAAAUUGGUGUAAAAAUACUCCUGUACUGGGAAGGAAGCAAAAGCGAUUGGCGUAGUGGCCGUUGGAGUAGGAGUCGCAGCGGUCGGUUGGCUCGGCUGGAAGGCGUACGUCAAGGCAAGAGCUCCCGUUGUUCAAAUGGGCGUUGCUGACGAAGCGCAAGCAGUACAAAGCAA